UACGUAGGGGGGCAAGCGUUGUCCGGAUUUAUUGGGCGUAAAGAGCGUGUAGGCGGCCAGGUAGGUCCGUUGUGAAAACUCGAGGCUUAACCUCGAGACGUCGAUGGAAACCAUCUGGCUAGAGUCCGGAAGAGGAGAGUGGAAUUCCUGGUGUAGCGGUGAAAUGCGCAGAUAUCAGGAAGAACACCCGUGGCGAAGGCGGCUCUCUGGAGACGUGACUGACGCUGAGACGCGAAAGCGUGGGGAGCAAACGGG
rnacentral:rRNA from 1 species